CACGUAGGGCGCAAGCGUUGUCCGGAAUUAUUGGGCGUAAAGAGCUCGUAGGCGGUCUGUUACGUCUGCUGUGAAAACCCUGGGCUUAACCCUGGGCUUACAGUGGAUACGGGCAGACUAGAGGCAGGUAGGGGAGAAUGGAAUUCCCGGUGUAGCGGUGAAAUGCGCAGAUAUCAGGAGGAACACCUAUGGCGAAGGCAGCUCGCUGGGACGUGACUGACGCUGAGACGCGAAAGCGUGGGGAGCAAACAGG
rnacentral:rRNA from 1 species